CGACCCCCUCUCUCUUUCCAUGGGAGAUGCAGCGGCGGCAACAGCCCGCCUCAAUGCCUUCCAUCCACAGCGUCCUGCCCGCGUGGACGUGGAGUCGUGGGUGGCCGCUGCCACGCGGUGCCCGCAGUCGAUCGCGCUCACCGCGGAGGAGCUCCAAGCGUGGGGCCGCAUGGUAGCGCCCGAGCACCCUGGCUCCUUCUCCCGCACCCACGCCCCGCGGGCGGCACCCGUCCUCUCCCCUCCCGCACCCCCGCCGGCCUCCUGCGCAGUAGCGGAGCACGGCGGCUCUGGCGAUGGAGGCGGUCGCCGGGAGCGCGGAGGCAGCCGCGGGGUGCCAAAUCCCGUCGACAAACCGCGCGGUCGCUCCCCUUCCAUGCCACGCGCCUCCCCUUCUCUCUCGCCGCACCCGAACCACAACUCCUGCACCCACACACGUGCCAUGGAAUCGCAGCUCGUCGGUGCCUAAUCACGCUUGCUCGCAGCUCGUCCUGGAGUUGAGCGCCUAAUCACGCUUGCCGUGCCUUCCUCCUCCCUCCCGGCCUGCCUAUAAAGCCCGCGUGCCCCUCCGCCGGCAGCAGUCACCACGUAGAUUUCGAUUCCUUCCACCAAAACAACCCCUCGUUCCGACCGUGUAGCAGCAGCGGAAGCAAGAGCGAUCCGCCGCCGAGGGAAGAGCAGGGCGGAGGGAGAGAUGGCGAGCUUUAAGGUCGCCGACGCGUCGGAGUACCUGACCAUCACCGGCUGGGUCGUCGGCGUCAAGCUCGCGAAGAAGGCGUGGGUGUGGGUGUGGGUGUGGAUGAAGAUGUUCUUGUUCACUCUGCUCUUUGGAUCCCUAUCACUGUCUGCACAAGGUGGUCGACCACAAUUAUUAAAUGCUAGAAGUUUUACAGCUAAUAACACCAUCAACUCAAAAUCAUUUGAUGAGAGCAAGAUUACCCUGAUAUUUUGUUCUUGGGGUAAGUGCGAUUUUUUCGGACAUGGCCUGCAUGAUUGUUAUUGCUGUCCGGAUGGAAGUUGGAAAGAGUAUUGCCACCAGACAAUGGAAGAGUGCAGGGCGAAUUGCGCUCUGUGCAGACCCAAAUGCUAGCUACCACCAUUUGCGUGAUUGAUGAUGGAAGGCAUUGUGUGAUCCAAAAAUCAAUCCACUAUAAUAGAUCACUAGUGCUUUAUUUAUAUCACUGUUGGAAAAUAAAAGAACAAUAGGUCCUUUGAGAGAUUUUUUUAGGAAAAUAAACUUUCUGCUUCUCAAAAAUAAUACCUUGAGAAUAUUAGCAUCUAGCAGAUACUGUACAAAUGCAUAGGUGGUAUAUCAAUAAUUCAAUUUCAAUAUAUAUCAAUAAUUCAAUUUCAA